rnacentral:rRNA from 1 species
GCAAGCGUUAUCCGGAUUUACUGGGUUUAAAGGGUGCGUAGGUGGGUCUGUAAGUCAGUGGUGAAAUCUCCGAGCUUAACUCGGAAACUGCCAUUGAUACUAUAGGUCUUGAAUUAUCUGGAGGUAAGCGGAAUAUGUCAUGUAGCGGUGAAAUGCUUAGAUAUGACAUAGAACACCAAUUGCGAAGGCAGCUUACUACGGAUUGAUUGACACUGAGGCACGAAAGCGUGGGGAUCAAACAGG